CCGGAAAGGAGGGGACACACGGGCACGAAACGCGUCCCCAGAGCCGCUGCACGCGGCAGGACACGGGCACCAGCGCCAGAGCGGGCGAGGGCGGAGAAAGUUAGGAACUGUCUGCUGGUGUGGACGCUGCGGGUUCCUCAGGAGAGAGAGAUGAUCAUUCAGAAGCAGGACUGAGAGCUGGAUACCUGGUCCAUGGUCUACUCGUCACCCUGUGAGGUGGGAAUACUUAUCCUGCUGUCCCGUUUGGAAGGAUUCUGAAUUCAAAAGCUUUGUAAGCUCUCACACUUACUGUGGUGCUGGAUUCCAGGGCGACCCAGUUUUGAAGAAACAAGUUUACAGGUAAGACUUGUUUUAACUCUGUUCUAGAGUGUGUCUUACGCCUAAAUCCUGGAGCACCAGAGAAGUAUCUUGACAAAUAGUGUUACUUGGAAGUCCUUGUCUUUCUGUUGCUUAAGAUUAGUAGGUGAGACUGUCUGUUCACCCCUGUACCCAUUUUUCCAGAUAACAUGUUAUUGGUCUUUUUCUUAUUGAUUUGUAAGAAUUCUUUAUACAUUGG
rnacentral:lncRNA from 1 species